AACGCGAAGAACCUUACCUGGGCUCGAACGGCUCACGAAAGUCUUUGGAAACAGAGAUUUCCCGCAAGGGACGGGAGUCGAGGUGCUGCAUGGCUGUCGUCAGCUCGUGUCGUGAGAUGUUGGGUUAAGUCCCGCAACGAGCGCAACCCUUGUCCUGUGUUACCAUGCCGAAAGGCGGCACUCGCAGGAGACCGCCAGCGAUAAGCUGGAGGAAGGUGGGGAUGACGUCAAGUCCUCAUGGCCUUUAUGUCCAGGGCUACACACGUGCUACAAUGGGCGGUACAAAGCGCUGCUAAGCCGCAAGGCGGAGCCAAUCGCAAAAAGCCGCUCUCAGUUCGGAUUGCAGGCUGCAACUCGCCUGCAUGAAGCUGGAAUCGCUAGUAAUGCUAUAUCAGAACGAUAGCGUGAAUACGUUCCCGGGCCUUGUACACACCGGAGUGC
rnacentral:rRNA from 1 species